rnacentral:lncRNA from 1 species
AACUGUUUAACUUGACUCCGCGGCAUUUAUUUUUGUAAUCAUUAAGUAGGAACCCCGUAAUACGUGUCUCUUUCUUCAUGUCUUUGUCAGCUCCUGGAGACAUCAAGAAAAGCCAGUCCUUCUCCCUCACUGUUACUCUCUGGCCUUCCUUAUCCCUUUCAUCGAACAUACCCCAUAUCUCUGAUAACUUCUGUCAACACACGAAGAGGGUGUUUAUGGAAUUCUUAUAGAGAGAGCAUAUCGCCAAUCGGUAUCGAAAUAGCUUUUGAGGCGAGUUUGUGAAAUACAUUUUGCAUUAUUCAUAAUAGAGUCGUCAAGCGCCGUGACUAUGAAGUAUCCGUUUCUUCAUCAAUUCCCUGGGGUUGUUAUGCCUUCAACUCUUUACUAUUACAAUUCUAACUCAUCUGCUGGGAACAUUUCCAAAGGCCAAAAGGCAAGGAAUAUUGGGUUAACAACAGCUUUGCUUAUCUUUGGAGCUCUGCCAAGGCUUCAAGACCAGGAAAUUGUAUGAUGUGAGAGUUGGUUUUCGAUUUUGUCUCAGUUGUCCGAAAGAGGUGUGUUUUCGAAGCAGCAAUCUAUAUCUUAUAAAAAACAGUGAGACACUGGGAAUCGAUAUUGUUUUAUGAAAAAAAUUAAUUUAUUAGCAAAAAAUUGUCCUCCAUAGCCCAGGAACCUGGUCUUAUUAGAACUUUACAUAACCCUCAAUAAGUAACUUAGAAUUUUUGGAUAACGUUUAUUUAUGUUUAAAGUCUGUAUCUAUCUGUGUUUGGGCAAAAGUUCACAUCCAAAAAAAGGCCACCAUUUUUAGUAUAAUAGAGAUAUGUAUGGCCUUUUACUAUAUUUUUUUUUAAUGCAUUUAAAACACAUUAAACACAUUGUUAGAAUGAGUUCUCCAAAGACAAAAGAAAUUUUUUAGUAAUAUAUAUAUUUUUGACAACAGUGAUAUAACUGAAUUGGUAUAUGUAAAUUAACGUUAAAUCGAAUUAAGUUUUUUACUAGGUAUAUUUUAAACGUACUUCCAAUUCAAUUUUCAGUUAUGAUAUCUAUGAUGGUUUCAAAAUUAUAUCAAUUAUCAUUUAAUUACUAUAGAAAGGAUACAAAAACACUAUAUCCGUUUCAAAAUAAAUGGAACACAAGUAUUAGCAAGUAAUACAUUUUACAUCCUAAUAUUAAGUCAUGUUUACAUAAAAAAGCAUUUUACAUUAAUUUAUUUUAUUCUGUGCAUUAAGAUAAAAGACAGUAAAAAUAUAAGAAUAAAAUAAAUAUGGUUGUGUCAACAUAAGAACAAUCUUGAAAAGGAGACAAUUCCAAUAUGUUUUUUACAUCAUAUAUACGUACAGACAAAUAUUUCAUUGGCAUAUUUGAGAGAAUUGUAGGCAUAGUAUUGAAGUUUGUGGGAUGAGUUAAGAUACCUAAGAAUUUCUGCUAUAGUCAAGAACCUUUAUUUUAUAAGACACUAAUGUUGGACCCAUCUGACCUUUCAAAUAUAAUAAUUUAUGUUUUUUAUUUAUUGUAACGUUUAAAUUUGGCAACUUUAAGCGCAAUUGCAAAUCAUUUAAGGAGCUGAUACGAAUAACACUGCUUAAUAUUUAUGACAAAAAGUUUUUAAGCAGAUUAUAAUUUAAUGUGGGAUGCUGAUUAAGAAUAACGACUCAUUUUUGCUAUACUACUCUAUUGAAAGAUAUUUUUUUGUUGAAAUUCAUUUGGAAUAUAUACUUAUAGUACAAAAACUUAAUAUGAAGAAGAAAAUAUACAAGCAAACUUUAAUAUACCACUCUGAAUUUAGUUGAAAACUGUCCUAAGCUCUACACCAGAGAAUUAUUUUUCCUUUUUGUAGAUCAGUUAUGAUUUGUUGAUAGAAAUUGACCAUAAUCUGUUAAAAAAUACAAUUACCGUUUUGAGAAAAAUCAUUUUAUCUUAUGUUAAAAAAAUCCAUGGGUAAAUUUAGAAAUCUGAAGUCGAAACAAAGUUUAACAGAUUUUAUUUUUAGAAAAUCGACCUUUUGUAUUUACUCUAGGAAAUAAUAUCAAAAGAAAAAAAUCUUCUUUUUUUAUGGGACAUUUUGAUGUUUUUCUUUUUAUUUUGUUUUAGUAUCGUUAUCAAGCCUAGAAAACCAUUUUUACUCUUGAUUUCGAAGAGUAUGGCUUUGACUAGGACAGUAAAAAAAAAAAAAACAAUUUAAUCGAGUUUAUAAGAUUAAUGUUUAGUGUAGUUAGUAUAUUUACUAAAUUAUAUUAAAAUUUAUCCGGUACAUUUUCGUCAUUUAAUAUUUUAUUCAGACUUUUGUUUAUUUUAUUUUGCUCAAGUUAGUUUUUUUGUCAAAAUGUAAUUAAAAAGUUGAAGUAACAUAUUGAUCCAGGAUGGGCUUAUUGAAUAAAUAACUAUUGUAGAAAAAUUACAUCCUUCAGUAGUAUUACUUUUGUUGCCCUUAAAAAAUCUACUUUAUUGAUUUAUCUGCAUU